CUUCUUCUUCACGGUUAGUUCAGCGGCCCCUCACAUACGUUACCAUCCAAAAUUCCAUACAGAUUUACAUUGUUCACACUGAACGAAUAUUUCCACCCUUUACUCUCCAAUGGGUGUAUAUAGCAGUACAUCAUGAUCAGAGGACACAGAUCAAUAGUGAAUAAGAAUCACUCUAAAACUGUAGCUCUCAUCUUUGUCCCCUCUGCUUUCCUCUUCUACUCUCUCUUCAACAUGGCUUUCCACAACCAACCUUCAUCUUCAGAUUCUGUAAUUUCGAAUGACGAGCAGAGGUCGAGAUUGUAUGAUAAGAUGGAGAGGGAUUUGGAUGAGAACGGGCCUGCUUUUCUUAAACAAGGUGAAACAUCUCAGUCGUUGUCACUUUCGGAUAUUUUCACUUUGAAGGAUGGAUAUGUAACACCCAUACUUAAGGCAGCAAACCCUCCUGUACGGGCUAAUGUUUUGUAUCUGAGCACCGAAUACUCAGUGCGCAUCUCGGAGGCUGUGAAACAUAUUUUUAAUCCGUACUUUGAUAAAGCAAUCUGGUUUCAGAACUCCAGCAUGUACCAUUUUAGCAUGUUUCAUGCUUCACAUCAUAUUACACCUGUUCCUGCUUCUGAAGAUGAGAUAGAAGUGGAAGCAAGUGCUGUUCAUGCUGUUGCAGAUGAUCUCUGUCCUUUAAAAAUUGUUUUAGACAGGGUGGUUUUAACCUCAACUGGUGUGCUUUUGGGUUGCUGGCAGGUAAUCUCUGGGACAGAUCCCAUAACCAUUCGUGCCAAGCUGAGGACUGCACUUCCACAUGCGCCAGAAAAGCAACUUUAUGAUGCUGCUAUUCUUCACACAUCAUUUGCAAGGCUUCUGGGACACCCCACAGCAACUCCAAUGGAGCUGCAUAAAACUUCAGAUGAAGUUCAAUUCUUCCAUGACCUAGUUGCUAAGCUAAACAAUCAAAUCCGUGGAAUGGAGCCAAUCCAUCAGUAUAAUUGCUUCAAAGUAUUGACCAUGACCAUCUAGACAUCAUGACUACAGACUUCACACAAAUGUUUACAACUUUUAGACUUCUGGCUGUGGUGUCUGAGCUCUGGUAUGUGGAGGAAUAUGAUGUGCUUGCUCUUGCAUUGGAUGGAAGAACGAAGAUUCGCAGGUUUCAACUUGGCUGCUCAAGAACCCAAGAUUCCAAAGAUGACAAGCAUAAUUAAAAGCAUAUUUCAUUACUUAUAUAUAUGAAAAAAAAAAAAUAUCAAAAGCAUAUUCAUAGAUUUACAGGAUCUUUCAUGAUGGAAGUGUGUACUUAAUAUACAUUUUCGUUUAAGAUGGUCCUAAUAUUAGAAAAUCUUGUCACGUCUUA